AUGUCAAAAAGUAGAAAAGAAACAAAAACAUGCCACAAAAGUAGCAGUAUUACUUACACUUUUCUCUACAGCGCUUGCAUAGACAAACAUGGAAUUCCAGAAACAAAAUCACUCACAGGUAACAUAUACACAGCUGCAAUGCAAUUAGUUCCCACCACCAACUGAUGCCCUGCAACCCCCAAGCAUUGCCACCCCCAGCCAAUUGCUUGCCUCACAACAGCCUUCUUUGUGGUGCCACAUGGCACAGAAUGACACCCAGCCUCAUCCUGACUCUGUUCUGGCCCUGCCCCACCAGCUGCCCCACUCCACCAUGGUAGCGGCUCUGCCCUGCCAAGCAGCCCAGCCCUGCCCCAGGCAUGCUUUCAUCAGUCAGCAACAGCCAAACAUUUGUUCACUCCUUAUUCCACACCAUUUACAUCAUGUCCAGGUCCUACACUUUCCCAUACAUGCCUAUUAAUUACACAGAUAUCACCCCUCUAUAUCGUGCAUGGAAUUCAUUUAGUCUGUCAUUUGGGCUUCAUCUGUUGCAACAGUCCCUCAGAGCAGGAGAGAUUAUGCACAGUGCUGGAUUGGCGCACGCUGGAGCACAACAAAGGCAAUAAAAAAAAAAGGAGAGAGAUAAAUGGAACAUGCUGUUUGGAGAGCAACUGGAACGUUUUUGCAUAGCAGUGAGGAUUACCUCUUCAAAGAAACUGGGCAGUGAAAAGCAUCAGCAGCCCCCUGCCAGAACACAGACACCCUGGUUUCCUGCUUGAUGUUCAGCUCACACAGUGUCUCACGAGAUAAAAUUUAAAGCCUCAGCCCUCAAGAACUGCAAUCUCUGAAUCCUGAAUCUAUCCACAGCUGUGCUUUAACAAAGAUCAUCUGCCCUGCUGUGGAUGAGCAUUCUCCAGUAUGCCUCAAGCACAAAGUGUUGGGACAUCUUGGAAGCUGAUCCAAAAAUACAAGCUUGUCAUCAUUUUCCUAGAGAACACAACACUAACAAGGGAUGCUUUAAGAAGAUUCUAACAAUUGCAUCUGUAUUUGAAGCUUUAUGUCCCCGUAUUUAUCUCACUUUCCUGUACCUGUUUCCCCUCUUUAAUCACCUACCCUAAGCAAAGGCCUGUUUCUACAGCUCAGAGACUUCAGCUUCUCACUGUUUUGAGGAGUUAUGAAUCUGCAAAUCGAUUUUAAUAUAAAUACUGUAGCACGGCACAGAGGUAAGAACAGCUAAUCAAGGCACUACAUUUGAAAUUAGAAGUUACUGAUCCUAAAAGAUAAAGUCAAG
rnacentral:lncRNA from 1 species